rnacentral:tRNA from 1 species
GCGCCCAUCGUCUAGCGGUCCAGGACACCGCCCUCUCACGGCGGGAACAGGGGUUCGAUUCCCCUUGGGCGUA